AAAAAGCAGAGCUGAGGCAACUGGCUGCAGAAGUUAUGAAGCUUACCGCUGAACUUAGACGUGCAGUCCAAGCACACCACAAUCUCACACACCUCUAUAGACCAGUACUGCGAAACAUAGAGAAUAACCUAAUGAAAAUGAAGCAAGAAACCUUUGCAUAAUAUGGCGAUGAUAGUGGAGGUCCAUGAAGUGAUACGGUUGAUGGCUACUGAACUGGAGCAUGAUGAGCCUACUCCUUAUCCAGAAGAUGAUCGACAGAUGUUGUGGCUACUUUUCAGAGGUUGGUGCUUGAACUCCACAAUUUGAUAAUUUUUAAAGUUUCCAAUUCCAGUUUAUUCUAGCUUUGAGUUUAUUGAUAUUGACUAGCGCUUCACCAUGUGAUAAGU